UNUCAGUGAUGACCUCACCGUGCCCAUGCC
rnacentral:piRNA from 1 species